GUAGGGUGCGAGCGUUGUCCGGAAUUAUUGGGCGUAAAGGGCUCGUAGGCGGUCUGUUGCGUCGGGAGUGAAAACUCAGGGCUUAACCCUGAGCCUGCUUCCGAUACGGGCAGACUGGAGGUAUGCAGGGGAGAACGGAAUUCCUGGUGUAGCGGUGAAAUGCGCAGAUAUCAGGAGGAACACCGGUGGCGAAGGCGGUUCUCUGGGCAUUACCUGACGCUGAGGAGCGAAAGUGUGGGGAGCGAACAGGAUUAGAUACCCUGGUAGUCCACACCGUAAACGUUGGGCGCUAGGUGUGGGACUCAUUCCACGAGUUCCGUGCCGCAGCUAACGCAUUAAGCGCCCCGCCUGGGGAGUACGGCCGCAAGGUUA
rnacentral:rRNA from 1 species